ACGAUACGUGCCAUGGGUUGGGAGAUUGGUUCAUCGCGUUCAAGUUAAGAGUAGCUUCCACUUCAGAUUGUCCACCAGACAAGAACAUGAUUCCAGGGACAGCAGGGGGAAUUCUUCGUUGGAGGAGCUUGAGGGUAUAAUCAGCAACUUGUUCUGGGGUGGCCCUCUCCUUGCAUUCUGCUCCCGGGGUGACCAUGCUAGGCUUCAACAAGAUACCUUCAAA
rnacentral:misc_RNA from 1 species